CAGCAGCCGCGGUAAUACGAGGGGUGCAAGCGUUAUUCGGAUUGAUUGGGUGUAAAGGGUGUGCAGACGGCUUAUUAAGUCACUUGUUAAAUUCUUCGGCCUAACUGAAGGUCUGCAAGUGAUACUGAUGAGCUAGAGGGUGGAAGAGAGAAGUGGAAUUCCCGGAGUAGCGGUAAAAUGCGUAGAUCUCGAGAGGAACACCAAUGGCGAAGGCAGCUUCUUGGUCCAUUCCUGACGUUCAUACACGAAAGCGUAGGAGCAAACAGGAUUAGAUACCCCUGUAGUCCCUGUCUCUUAUACA
rnacentral:rRNA from 1 species